rnacentral:rRNA from 1 species
GGUGCAAGCGUUGUCCGGAAUCAUUGGGCGUAAAGCGCACGUAGGCGGCUCUUUAAGUCUGAUGUGAAAGCCCACGGCUCAACCGUGGAGGGUCAUUGGAAACUGGGGGACUUGAGUGCAGAAGAGAAGAGCGGAAUUCCACGUGUAGCGGUGAAAUGCGUAGAGAUGUGGAGGAACACCAGUGGCGAAGGCGGCUCUUUGGUCUGUAACUGACGCUGAGGCGCGAAAGCGUGGGGAGCGAACAGG